AUACCUACGGGGGGCAGCAGUGGGGAAUAUUGCGCAAUGGGGGAAACCCUGACGCAGCAACGCCGCGUGAGUGAAGACGUAUCUCGGUAUGUAAAGCUCUAUCAGCGGGGAAGAAGGAAGACGGUACCCGACUAUGAAGCCCCGGCUAACUACGUGCCAGCAGCCGCGGUAAUACGUAGGGGGCGAGCGUUAUCCGGAUUUACUGGGUGUAAAGGGAGCGUAGACGGCGUCGCAAGGCUGAAGUGAAAGCGCGAGGCUCAACCGCGGAACCGCUUUGGAAACU
rnacentral:rRNA from 1 species